CUAAUACUAAAAAGCGGGAGAGUGAAAAUCUGAAUAUAUGAUGAAAUAACUAGUUCAAGUUUAUCUUUUUGAACUGUUACCUUUCAAGCGGGAGAGUGAAAAAAAAGGCGGUACCUUUUGAGGAAAGCCUGCUGCUAAAUACUAAAAUGUUAAAAAAAAUAAUUAUCUUUUUGAAAAGUCUCAUUUAGACUCUCAUUUAGUUUCCUUUGUAGCCUUCCAUUCGGUAAUCUGUCAAAGUCCCUUUCUCCUCCAAUCGACCAUCAUUCUUUCUCUCUUGGUAUCAAUCUCUCUACUUGGGCCUCCUGGAGUAAUAUACCCUUCAAUGGUGGCAUUGGAGGUAGUGACUGGAAGCUUGGUCGAAUUUGGUUUUGAGGAUAUGUAAACACAACUUUUUUAUUAGAGUUUAAAUUGCAAUUUAUUAAUUUGUUAGUUAUGCUUAGUUUUUGGUCCUGUAGUGUUGGUUGAUAAUUUUACAUAUUAGAUUUCUUUUACUCUUACAUUUGAUACUUAAAUGGUUGAAACCAAACUGGAGUAUUGUAAAUAAGGUUAAUCAUAUUACCACUGUCAAAUACACUUAAUUAAAUAGAUAAUAAUGUUCCUCUCUAAUUUUCUGUGACAUUACUGCAUAGAUUGCUGAUAUUUGAUUUAUAGGGAAUGCCUCGAUUUAAGACCCAACUAAAUGGAACUAAAUAAUGGAGCAAUAUAUAGUAGGCAUAAUUCAACAUGUUUUUUUGGACUCUUCAAGGUUCUUGGUAAGACAUCUUAGUUGCCUAUUAUGUUAGAGUGUGUUUACUCUUCUUAGUGGCUCUUUAGUUUUCUGUUAUGGUUGUUAUAAGUAGUUAAACUACUUUCUCAAUUGAUCUCUUGUAUAAAUACUCUCUUGUACAAAUUACUUGGUCAACAAUAAUACUUCUUCUUUCCAUAAA